rnacentral:ncRNA from 1 species
GUAUUGUAUGAAAGGAGAAUAGGUUAGUACUACCCUUGAUAAGGAUGCAAAAGGUCCUAAUGGCCUUUACAACACAUAUAUAGUUAAGCCUACUCUGUGACAUCUAACCAUGUUUUCU